ACUCCUACGGGAGGCAGCAGUGCGGAAUUUUAGAUAAUGGAGGGAACUCUGAUCUAGCGACGCCGCGUGCAGGAAGAAGGUCUUCGGAUUGUAAACUGCUGUGGUAAGGGAAAAAUGCUAUGUAGAGUGGAAAGCUACAUAGAGGGAUGGUACCUUACUAGAAAGCCCCGGCUAACUACGUGCCAGCAGCCGCGGUAAUACGUAGGGGGCGAGCGUUACCCGGAAUCACUGGGCGUAAAGGGAGCGUAGGUGGCCUAACAUGUCAACUGUGAAAACCCGGAGCUCAACUCCGGACUUGCAGUUGAAACUGGUAGGCUUGAGGACGGUAGAGGAAGACGGAACUGCCAGUGUAGGGGUAAAAUCCUUAGAUAUUGGCAGGAACGCCGGUGACGAAGGUGGUUUUCUGGGCCGGUUCUGACACUGAUGCUCGAAAGCCAGGGGAGCGGACGGGAUUAGAUACCCUGGUAGUC
rnacentral:rRNA from 1 species